UGGUGACCUGGCUGUGACAUUGGUCACCCCAUUGAUUACCAGGGUUGAUUUGGCUGAUCUGGUUGGCUAGGUGGGUGUCCCCUUCCUCCCUCACUGCUCCAUAUGUAUCCCUCCUGAAGCUGCACGCUCAGUUGAAGAGGAAGACGGACUUUCCCCAAUAGAGGACCAGUCUUCGGUCAAGGGUAUACGAGUAGCUGCACUCCCCUGCUAGAACCUCCAAAUAAGUUCUCAAGGUCUAUCUCUUCUAGUUAACCCACACUGCUCAAUGCCAGCAAAGGCUUCCUAAAGACAACGCCGUGAAGCCAUUCUACUUAGGACAGUAUUAGUCACU
rnacentral:snRNA from 1 species